GACAGAGGGGGCAAGCGUUGCUCGGAAUUACUGGGCGUAAAGGGCGCGUAGGCGGGAUGGCAAGUCGGUCGUGAAAUCCCUCGGCUCAACCGAGGAACGUCGAUCGAUACUGCUGUUCUUGAGGAUUGCAGAGGAGACUGGAAUUCCCGGUGUAGCGGUGAAAUGUGUAGAGAUCGGGAGGAACACCGGUGGCGAAGGCGGGUCUCUGGGCAAUUCCUGACGCUGAGGCGCGAAAGCUAGGGGAGCAAACGGG
rnacentral:rRNA from 1 species